CUAACUUAACUGCUUCUAAAGGUGACAUAAAAUAAAAGGUCAGAACAUCAUUAUAGCCAAACUACUCUGAUUC
rnacentral:sRNA from 1 species